rnacentral:rRNA from 1 species
GGUAGUAACACGUGGAUAACCUACCUAUAAGACUGGGAUAACUUCGGGAAACCGGAGCUAAUACCGGAUAAUAUUUUGAACCGCAUGGUUCAAAAGUGAAAGACGGUCUUGCUGUCACUUAUAGAUGGAUCCGCGCUGCAUUAGCUAGUUGGUAAGGUAACGGCUUACCAAGGCAACGAUGCAUAGCCGACCUGAGAGGGUGAUCGGCCACACUGGAACUGAGACACGGUCCAG